rnacentral:rRNA from 1 species
AUUGAACGCUGGCGGAAUGCUUUACACAUGCAAGUCGAACGGCAGCACGGACUUCGGUCUGGUGGCGAGUGGCGAACGGGUGAGUAAUGUAUCGGAACGUGCCCAGUCGUGGGGGAUAACGUAGUGAAAAUUACGCUAAUACCGCAUACGAUCUAUGGAUGAAAGCGGGGGAUCGCAAAACCUCGCGCGAUUGGAGCGGCCGAUAUCAGAUUAGGUAGUUGGUGGGGUAAAGGCCCACCAAGCCAACGAUCUGUAGCUGGUCUGAGAGGACGACCAGCCACACUGGAACUGAGACACGGUCCAGACUCCUACGGGAGGCAGCAGUGGGGAAUUUUGGACAAUGGGCGAAAGCCUGAUCCAGCCAUUCCGCGUGCAGGAUGAAGGCCCUCGGGUUGUAAACUGCUUUUGUACAGAACGAAAAGGUUUCUACUAAUACUAGGAGCUCAUGACGGUACUGUAAGAAUAAGCACCGGCUAACUACGUACCAGCCGCCGCAGUAA